AGCCUAAACUCUAGGUUUUCUGGAGCAUGGCACGAAAUCCGAUCAAGGUAUUGAACCCCUCGUUCAGAAACCUUGAUCGGUCAUACGUCGAAAGGCGUAUGGGUCGAAAGACC
rnacentral:sRNA from 12 species